UCUCACUUGUAUUUUAUAAGUGCCAUAUAAAAUUUGUUAUCUCAAUAUUACUUGUGUCAAAUAUAAUUUUUCUCAUAAUUUGUUUGGAAAAUGUCUUUUUUGUAGGCAGUGAAAAAAAUACAGGCUCAACUGCUGUCAAUUAGUUUUAUUUGCAAGUUGGGUAAAAAUCUAAACUGUGCCAAAUCAGUCCCAUUAUGUCCUAACAAAUUGCUCACCCAUCCCUUUAUUUGUUCUUCAGUUUGACAUCUUUCUGUGUAUUUCUUGUAAGGGGAAACAUCCUGAACCUGUCGGCGACGUGGUGGUGCGGAAGCCCAAAGCUAUGGGGAAAAGAUAUCUGCACUCCACACUUUACAGAGCUUACACAGGACCAGAUCCCGACAAUCUGGCAUCAGGAGAAAAACUACGCCAGCUGCAGUCCCAACCACUUAUGGCUCUAGGUCUUUCAAAUUUGGAGCUGGUUCCAUCCAAAUUUGGGCCUGUGCCACAGGGCUCACCAAUGUCUUAUCAGUGCCCACCUGAGAAGUCAUCUGGUACAUCAUUUUGCACCACAUGGCUCCAGACUUUCCUUUUCUCCCUUUGAUGCUGCAUAGUCUUUCAAAUAUGUGUUUUGUGCCCACACUCGGUCAACUUAUGCAUCUUCAGUCUCUGCAAGUGUCACUGGAAAUGUCUUAUGAAAUAGAGGCUACAACAAGAGAGCAUAUAUAAGAAUAAGAAUUAUUUUCUGUAUUCCGGCUAACAGAAUGCUUGUGGACAGAAUUAAUUUGUAAAAAAUUGAAUUUUUCUACAACCUCUUUAAAUUUAAGACCACAUUGUUGUGCCACUGUUCAGGUGUACUUUUGAAGUGAACAUGUUAAGUGCAAUUUGAAAUAUGAAAUAUAAAAUAUGAUAAAAAAAUAUAAAUUUUUGUGUUUAUUUGAUUCCUAUUCAAUACACUUUGAUAAGAAUGACUAUAUAUUUAAUAUAGG